rnacentral:rRNA from 1 species
UGGGGAAUAUUGCACAAUGGGCGAAAGCCUGAUGCAGCGACGCCGCGUGAGGGAUGACGGCCUUCGGGUUGUAAACCUCUUUCAGUAGGGACGAAGCGCAAGUGACGGUACCUGCAGAAGAAGCACCGGCUAACUACGUGCCAGCAGCCGCGGUAAUACGUAGGGUGCGAGCGUUGUCCGGAAUUACUGGGCGUAAAGAGCUCGUAGGCGGUUUGUCACGUCGUCUGUGAAAUCCUAGGGCUUAACCCUGGACGUGCAGGCGAUACGGGCUGACUUGAGUACUACAGGGGAGACUGGAAUUUCUGGUGUAGCGGUGGAAUGCACAGAUAUCAGGAAGAACACCGAUGGCGAAGGCAGGUCUCUGGGUAGUAACUGACGCUCAGGUGCGAAAGCGUGGGGAGCAAACAGG